AGCUUGAGAGGCGUAGAAAUCUUACACCAUCUUCACAGGUAUGAGAUAUCAUUCUCUGUGGCUGAGCUCAUACAACACUUCAAGAGUGCGUAGAUUCUUCUGACGAACUCUUCUCUUUACUUCUGUCCACAUUUGCUCGAUGAUAUUUAAGU